AGUGAACGCUGGCGGUAGGCCUAACACAUGCAAGUCGAACGGCAGCACAGUAAGAGCUUGCUCUUACGGGUGGCGAGUGGCGGACGGGUGAGGAAUACAUCGGAAUCUACUUUUUCGUGGGGGAUAACGUAGGGAAACUUACGCUAAUACCGCAUACGACCUACGGGUGAAAGCAGGGGAUCUUCGGACCUUGCGCGGUUGAAUGAGCCGAUGUCGGAUUAGCUAGUUGGCGGGGUAAAGGCCCACCAAGGCGACGAUCCGUAGCUGGUCUGAGAGGAUGAUCAGCCACACUGGAACUGAGACACGGUCCAGACUCCUACGGGAGGCAGCAGUGGGGAAUAUUGGACAAUGGGCGCAAGCCUGAUCCAGCCAUACCGCGUGGGUGAAGAAGGCCUUCGGGUUGUAAAGCCCUUUUGUUGGGAAAGAAAAGCAGCAGGUUAAUACCCCGCUGUUAUGACGGUACCCAAAGAAUAAGCACCGGCUAACUUCGUG
rnacentral:rRNA from 1 species